rnacentral:rRNA from 1 species
UACAGAGGUGGCAAGCGUUGUUCGGAAUUACUGGGCGUAAAGGGCUCGUAGGCGGUCUUGUAAGUCUUGUGUGAAAUCCCUCGGCUUAACUGAGGAACUGCACGGGAUACUGCAUGACUUGAGAUCGGGAGAGGGAAGCGGAAUUCCGGGUGUAGCGGUGAAAUGCGUAGAUAUCCGGAGGAACACCGGUGGCGAAGGCGGCUUCCUGGACCGACACUGACGCUGAGGCGCGAAAGCUAGGGGAGCAAACGGG